AUCGCAACAGGGCAAGAGCAGGAGGCCAGUCAUGUUUUUCGACAAUGUGGUGAUCGCCGGAGUGCUGACUGUCGGCCUCAUGGUUCUGUUUUUCGCAGGGUUUGGAUUCUUUAUCUGGAAAGACGCGAAUAAGCGCAAGAAGCCUUAAGUCUUUCCAGGGCAACGAGCACGCAAGGCAUUUUGGGCAACUUCGGUUGCCCUUUUUUUUG
rnacentral:sRNA from 1 species